CAAUUUUAUUGUUUAAUUACUUUCAUUUUUUUAAAUGUCAUUUGCAUGAUUAUUAGUUAUCAUUAAUAGUAAAAAUUCAUUUAAUAAUGCAAACAAACAAUUGAAUACAAUGUACAUCAUGUACAUUAACCUUUUACUUAAAAAAACAAUAAUUAAAAUUGUGUUUAUUCAAAAUGCUUGUCAAUAACUUUAUCUUUGAUUUUUUGCCAUUUCUACUCAAGAUUCAUACCAAGAAGAAAUUAAAAGAAUAAGAACCAAAAAUCUAAUGAAAAAAAAACAUACAAAAAUGAAAAAAAAAAAUAAAUUAAAGGCAAAAAAAAAAAAUAAUAAUAACAAGAGAACAAAUGAAUUCAAAUUAUUCAUGUUUCCCCAAAGUCUGUCGUUUGUUCCUUUCUGUUAUGUUAGAUUUUUUUGUUAAUAUUGAACAGGUUGCUGCAUGGGGCUUUUAAAAGCUUAACAUAAGUUUAGCAAAUUGUGGAAAUAGUACGGAAGUGUUUCUUUUUUGGUCUAUAAAUGAUGUGUCAUUAGUAUUCAUACAUGCAUCACAUGUUACUUCAUGCAACUUCUAAGCUAUUUCAAAGAAUGGACAAAAUAGCGGUAAGCAAACUCAAAGUAUAAUAAGCAGCUUAAAUCCAAGGAUGCCAUCUUGUCUAAUCUGUGGGACGACCAAGAUGAUUAUUAUGAAAAUUCAGCACUGUUUCAUAUUAGUAAAUGCUGCUGCUGUUUUUCUGUUUUUCUUGAUAUUGUUCAUAAAAAGCAAUUGUUGUUUUGUUUAAUUAAUACGAACUAUGAAUAUCAGUCAAGAAAAUACUAAGCGCAAUCAUGUUCAGAAUCCAUAUACAAGGCCACACCAAUUUAAUUCCUUGUUCGACAUACCCACCCGC
rnacentral:lncRNA from 1 species